CAGCUACUCGGGAAGCUGAGGUGGGAUUGCUUGAGCCCAAGAGGUGGAGGUUGCAGUGAGCUGUGACAGUGCCGCUGCAUUCCAGCCUGGGCAACAGAACACUGUCUCAAACCAAGCAAAGCUGACGAGAAAGGCUCUCAGCUGUCUGGAACUGCCCUAAUCGAUGCCCUCUUCUCUGAAGACCUGCCCCAGCCGAUGCAUAGGGGCUCAUGCGGAUAGGACUCUGCUGGCCCACCAUGUUAGAGUCACCUGUGAAGUCACCCAGGACAUCGUGCACGUCUCAUCACACAAUUCCCUGCGGAGGUGUCUCUCCUGUACUAUCCAGCUACAGCCCCGUUAACCUGAAUGACACUGAAGACAAGUUUCUGGUAUUCAUAGAACCUGUGCCUAUGAACCUCCAUUUCUUCAUCUUCUAGCCUGGAUAUUAAUUUGCCUGCUGAUCAAUGCUCAGCCAUUGGACUCACCUGGGUAAGUUGGAAACAAACUUGGCCCCUCUCCCUACCAAUGAAAUUAGAAUCCAUAGUGGGUAGGGCCCUUGCAGUGGUCACUUUUAAAGCUCCCAGAUGGCUCUAAGGUGCAGCCAGGAUUGAGACAUACUGUGCUAGCGUAGACUCUGCUCCCUGUAAGAUGCAUCGCUGUUGGCCGUACCAGGCACUCUUAAGGCUCAUCUGGGACAUUUGUACUUCAGAGUAAAUAGGGUUACAGUAAGAGAAAUUGAGAGGCUGAAGGCCUUGACAGAACUCAGUUUGUCCACCUUUUGACCACUUAGUUGGUCUUGGUGUAGGUGGGGGGAAGGGCGUGAAGGGACCGUGGAGUUCUGGAAUAAGGGCUGCCUGCCUCUGACCAUGAGUCCAGAGGUGGCAAUCAGUGUGGCCUCUGGGCUGCAUCUGUUUGUAGCAGGUACAUUCUGUUGGCCUGCAGUGUGGUCACAGGCGGUUGUUUUUAAAAAUAUGAAUGCCAGCCUUUAAAAAUUGGGUUUUUCAUAAGAGCAUUCUCUCAGAUCUGAUGGUGUCUGAUGGAAGACUUGGUGCUAAAUCAAACCAUGCACUUAGGAGUGCGAGUUCAUUAAUUCCCAUUUAGCCAGGUUACCCAAUUCAUAAGGGUGAUGACUGAAAUGGAAUAUGAUCUAACACCAAUUCCUUCUGAUUCUAUUAGAAGGCGAUGGGUUUUGAUACUGAAAUUUUAGUUUCACCAUUUUCACCUUUUGCUCUGCAACAAGCCCUUCUGAGGUUGGGCUUGAAUGAUAGAAUCUGGCUUGGGAGAUAGCAGUCUUGGGUUUAGUCUAGGUUUUGCUGUGGGAGCCUAGGGCUCUCUCUGGUUCUGAGUGUCCUCAUUUAUGUAAAACAAGAUCAAAUAAUUUCCAAGGUUCUUCUAAUUGGGAUUCGAAGAUGUGAAUGGCACAAGAAUAGAAUGGAAGACCCCCUGGUUAAAGUCAGAGUGUAAGAGGGUUAGCAAUGAAACUGGCCUGGAGAAGUCUGGGAGGGAUGUGAGGGAAGAGCUGGAGGCAAGCGGGGAAGCUACAGUGAAACGUUGGGUCCUAACCCUCCACACAGGCCAAAGAUGAAAGGGCGAUCUUGGGCGAGAGAGUGCUCCACCACUGGAGACAUCACAUGGAGGCCAGCCAGCUACUUAGAGGGCAUGAUGUGGGCAGCAGAUGGUGGAUGAGUCCCUUGUGACAUGCAGAGGUAGGAGGGAAGGAAGCAAGGAACCCCUCAUCUACUACUUCUCCUUCAAAGAACGCCGGCUGUAGGGGAGCAGGGGCUUUGUCUGUUUUGUCCCUGCUCUGUCCCCCAUGCCUGGAACCAUGCUGGGGACACAGCAGGAGCUCAGCUAACAUCCGCAGUGAAAUGCCCGCCUGCAGAAGCAGGCCGAGCCCGGCUUUGGGCGCUGACUCGAUGUUCAACUUGAGGCGAGUCCCUGCCCCUCUUGCCUCACCUCACAUGCCUCAGUGUGCCUACCUGAGAGAUGGGGGUGGGGACAGUGGCUCACAGUGUUGUGAGGUCUGUCACUGUGUUCAGCACACAGCUGGGGACCAGCGAGUGGCCGCGCCCUUAUGUGUGCUCUUUCUGUCCCUCAAGGCAGGGACCUGGCUCUGCCUCCCCAGUGCCGGCACCUAGCACAGAGCCCAGUAUACAGGGGCUUAAUUUCAGGGUUGCUGGAUUUCUAAAAGAGAAGUGAGGCAUCCAGAGAGUAUAAGAGGAGUUUUUUGGGGGGUUGGGUGAGGGGCGGAAGAAGGAAAAGUCACCUAAAAGACAAGCAUCGAUGUGGGAAGAAGGUUCGUCUGUGUGUGUGUGUGUGUGUGUGUGUGUGUGUGUGUGUGUGUGUGAGUGAGAGAGAGAGAGAGAGAGAGAGAGAGAGAGAGAGAGAACGCGCGAGCAGGGUAUGUAGGGGGGUGCCUGUACCACAUCUCUUCUCUCUUGGAGGCCUGGAACAUUCCAGCAUCUUUCAAGAUUCAGUUCAAACAAACAGUCUCCAGAAAGCUUUGCGAGGGUGUCUCUCACGCUGAACCGCUUCCCCCAGGCCUGUGCCUGUUCUCAGACUGCACACACCCACUUACUGUCACUGUUUCCCUGUCUGCCUAAAUUAUCUCUGGUUACCCUUUGGGGCUGGAGUCGUAGGCAAGAUACCCAACAAACACCAAAUGAAUGAACAAACAAAAAGCCCCUGAGGUGGGUCCCGACACCCCUCUGCCUGGCAUCCCCCUGCCCUGGUUGUGAUUGGUUUUUGGUGAAUCCUUUUAUAAGGGCUGCCUCCUGACCCUGCCUGCCUCUGCUCUCCAGCAUCUCCCUGGGGUCAGGUGGGGAGCUUACUCUGCCUGUGGAACAGAAACAUUUGCCUGGAGCCCAGGCUGGCAUUUCUGGGGUAUGGCCAGUGGAGGGCAGCAGUAUGCCACACCCAGCUGCCCUAUUUUCACAGGACUGAGUUUUGCUGGCUUGCUUUCUUUUACAAAUUUAUUUAUUUUUCCUUUGCCACUUAUUCCAGGAAUGGGCUUUUCUUUAAGACCUCACUUCUCGUUGGGUCUUACACAGAGCCUCACUCCUUUCCGGGACCCUGACUGAAACCAGUGUGAUCUGUAACAAUCUGGUUUUACCCAACUAAAAAAGAGGAAUCUCACAUCCUUUGGUCUUGACAAAUUCAGUUCACCCCAGACCUCUGGCCCUUCCCUAGUGUUGCCCCCGAAGACCCAUUUGUCUUGCUUUUUUCCCCCUCUCCUCAGCGGCUGCCCUAACAGCCCCCAGGUCUGCCUGAUUCUCUCCUGCUGGGACAUGCGGCCAGGGGUUGUAGAAA